CAUGGCUCAGGAUGAACGCUAGCGGCAGGCUUAACACAUGCAAGUCGAGGGGUAUUGGUUUCGGACCAAGAGACCGGCGCACGGGUGCGUAACGCGUAUGCAAUCACCUUUGCAGAGGGAUAGCCCAGAGAAAUUUGGAUUAAUACCUCAUAGUGUUAUUAGAUGGCAUCAUUUGAUAACUAAAGUUCCAACGGUAAAAGAUGGGCAUGCGUCCUAUUAGCUAGAUGGUAAGGUAACGGCUUACCAUGGCUACGAUAGGUAGGGGUCCUGAGAGGGAGAUCCCCCACACUGGUACUGAGACACGGACCAGACUCCUACGGGAGGCAGCAGUGAGGAAUAUUGGACAAUGGGCGCAAGCCUGAUCCAGCCAUGCCGCGUGCAGGAAGAAGCAUCUAUGGUGUGUAAACUGCUUUUGUACGGGAAGAAACACUCCUACGUGUAGGAGCUUGACGGUACCGUAAGAAUAAGGAUCGGCUAACUCCGUG
rnacentral:rRNA from 1 species